AUCGAACGCUGGCGGCAGGCCUAACACAUGCAAGUCGAGCGAGCGGCGGACGGGUGAGUAAUGUAUGGGGAUCUGCCCGAUAGAGGGGGAUAACUACUGGAAACGGUGGCUAAUACCGCAUACUAUCGGAUGAACCCAUAUGGGAUUAGCUAGCAGGUGGGGUAAAGGCUCACCUAGGCGACGAUCUCUAGCUGGUCUGAGAGGAUGAUCGGCCACACUGGGACUGAGACACGGCCCAGACUCCUACGGGAGGCAGCAGUGGGGAAUAUUGCGCAAUGGGCGCAAGUCUGAUGCAGCCAUGCCGCGUGUAUGAAGAAGGCCUUCGGGUUGUAAAGCACUUUCAGUGGGGAGGCGUUAUCCGACGAGAAAGCACCGGCUAACUCCGUGCCAGCAGCCGCGGUAAUUC
rnacentral:rRNA from 1 species